UACGGAGGGUGCAAGCGUUAAUCGGAAUUACUGGGCGUAAAGCGCACGUAGGUGGUUUGCUAAGUCAGCUGUGAAAUCCCCGGGCUCAACCUGGGCACUGCGUCCGAUACUGGAUGGCUUGAAUCCGGGAGAGGGAUGCGGAAUUCCAGGUGUAGCGGUGAAAUGCGUAGAUAUCUGGAGGAACACCGGUGGCGAAGGCGGCAUCCUGGACCGGCAUUGACGCUGAGGCGCGAAAGCCAGGGGAGCAAACGGG
rnacentral:rRNA from 1 species